GGGAUUGUAGCUCAGUGUUAGAGUGCUCUCCUGGCACAUGUGAGGCACUGGGUUCCAUCCUCAGCAUCACA
rnacentral:tRNA from 1 species